rnacentral:rRNA from 1 species
GGCUACACACGUGCUACAAUGGGUAGAACAGAGAGUUGCAAAGCCGUGAGGUGGAGCUAAUCUCAGAAAACUAUUCUUAGUUCGGAUUGUACUCUGCAACUCGAGUACAUGAAGUUGGAAUCGCUAGUAAUCGCGAAUCAGCAAUGUCGCGGUGAAUACGUUCUCGGGUCUUGUACACACCGCCCGUCACACCACGAGAGUUGGUUGCACCUGAAGUAGCAGGCCUAACCGUAAGGAGGGAUGCUCCGAGGGUGUGAUUAGCGAUUGGGGUGAAGUCGUAACAAGGUAUCCGUACGGGAACGU